UGGGGAAUAUUGGACAAUGGGGGCAACCCUGAUCCAGCCAUGCCGCGUGAGUGAUGAAGGCCUUCGGGUUGUAAAGCUCUUUUGGCGGGGACGAUGAUGACGGUACCCGCAGAAUAAGCCCCGGCUAACUUCGUGCCAGCAGCCGCGGUAAGACGAAGGGGGCUAGCGUUGUUCGGAAUUACUGGGCGUAAAGCGAGUGUAGGCGGUUGCCGUAGUCAGGUGUGAAAGCCUUGAGCUCAACUCAAGAAAUGCACUUGAUACUGGGUGACUAGAGGACCGGAGAGGAUAGUGGAAUUCCCAGUGUAGUGGUGAAAUACGUAGAGAUUGGGAAGAACACCAGUGGCGAAGGCGGCUAUCUGGACGGUUACUGACGCUAAGACUCGAAAGCGUGGGGAGCAAACAGGAUUAGAUACCCUGGUAGUCCACGCCGUAAACGAUGGGUGCUAGACGUUGGCNAGCUUGCUCGUCAGUGUCGCAGCUAACGCGUUAAGCACCCCGCCUGGGGAGUACGGCCGCAAGGUUGAAACUCAAAAGGAAUUGACGGGGGUCAUAGCUG
rnacentral:rRNA from 1 species